rnacentral:lncRNA from 1 species
GUUCUGGCUGCCCGUCGUGGCCACGGGUGGCCAAAGUGCUCGAGCACACGGUGGGAUGCAGCGUGGCGAUGUAGAGCAGAUGGACACGGGAUGAGCCCUGCGCUGAGCCUGCUGCUGUCCCUGGCUGGCUGCACCCUGCUUCAGGGCGUGCCGUUCCCACCCCAGGACGUGAGGCUGGAGGCCCAAAACUUCCACGUGCAGCUGCGGUGGGAGCCGGACCCGCGCACCCCUGGCGAGGCCACGUACCAGGUGGAGUGGAAGAGGCGAACCUCCAACUGGACCAGGGCAGACACCUCCUGGGGGAACCACACCAGCUCACCCUGGGUGUGCCAGCUGUAUUUCGACGAGAUCUACGAUAUCUACUGGGCGAGAGUGAGAGCCGCGGAGGACGGCGAGCUGUCCCCGUGGGUCUAUUCCAGCGAGCUGCAGCCAUACAGAGACACAAUUGUGGGCCCCCCCAGGUUGUCCUGGCUGUUCCAGGGCCACAUCCUCAGCAUCAACGUCACCGUGCCGCUCACGCCGUUCAGGGGCAAGAAGGGCUCCUACAAGCCAGUCAACAAAGUGCUGCUGAAGCUGUGGUACUGGCUGCACCUCUACGACGGGGAUGUGCUCACCCAGCAAGUGCCCUGCAGGCGGAGCAUGAGAGGAGCACCGUGCACCUUGAGGCACCUGAAGCCGAGCACUCGGUACUGCGUCCGCACGGUGGCAGUGGGCAUGGCCCCCGAGCGGAGCCGGGAGGCUGAGCAAUGCCUGGUGACCCCGGCAGCUCCUGCAGGCUUCCCCUGGGUCCUCCUCGCUGCGCUGAAUGCCACCUUCCUGCUGCUGAGCGUGGCCGGACUCUGCCUGGUCCAUCUGUACAUCUUCCCGAAACCCUCGGAGAUGCGCCUCCCGAAAACACUCGCCCCUCUGGACGGGAGCAGCGGGGUGCCCACCCUCGCGCUGCGGGAGGACGCGCUCGCCCUGCUGCUGCCAGCUGGCAAGGAGCCGGCAGCGCCUGGAGCCCCGCUGCAGCCCAGGGCAAGGCGUCUCCAGGAGAUGAGUGGUUACUGCCCCAACGGGUUUGGGACGGACCGCCCCGAGGGAUGGGACACAUCCUGCACCCACAGCCAGCCCGGGCAGGCACUUGGCACCUGGGCAUCGUUGCGGCUGGAGGAGGAGGAGGAGGAACACGACGGGGAUGCUGCGACAGCUUCCACUGACAGCAGCACAGGAGAUGGGGACUGUGGGACAUCCGAGACGUGGCUCCCCCUGCACCUCCAGCUUUAUUCCAAGUGCCCGUGGCCAUCUCCAGGAGCGGGUGUCAGCCUUCCUCCCUCCCUGCGAACCAUCAGCUUCAGCCCCAGGGAGCUGCGGGAGAGCGAGGCAGGGUGCUGGGUACCGCUCAGCUCCGUGAAGCUGCUGGCCAGCAAGGAGGAGGACGAGGGGCAGCUCCACCGUGCUGUCCACCCCCCGAGGACCGAGCUUCAGCCGGGUGACAGUGCCACGCAGCAGGGUGACACGGGGCGGCCAGCACCAGGCUGCCCCUGCCCGGUGCCCCCAGUGCCCCCCGGCACGUCCCACAUGGGCACGCUCCAUGGACAGGUGGCAGCAACAUCUUCAGAGCACCCCUCUGUGGUUUUGGGUGCUUCUGAGGCAAAAUGUGAGGAAUAGGUGCCACAGCUGAACCCCCCCAUACCUUUAUCUAUUUAUCCAUCUACAGAAGUGUGUGUGUGUACUAAUGCACCUCUCUGUAUACACACGCACAAACAUCUCUUUCAUUAGAAGAGAUUUUUUUUUUUAAUCUUGUCUGGAUAGACUGAUUGCACCCGGUUAUUUUUAAAUAACACUAAUUUAUUAUGGGAGCUCUCUUCCGCGCUUAUUACCUCUGUGCCACAGAGCGAGUGCUGCCAGGCCUGGGGAAGCUGCUGGGAAAACCUGGGGCUUCCCUGGGGGGAAUCGCACCUGUGGCUGCUCCGUGCCUUGCUGCAGCAUGGGAAAAAAGCCGGGUCUUCGGCAGGAUGGUUUUAUUAUCCCUCCUAUCCAGGCUCCUGGACCCAUGAGCUUCAGUCUGGAUUUGGGAAUGGGGGCUCUGCUCCAUCCCCACCGGGGCAGGAGGGCUGCUGCAGUGCCCCGUGCUGGGGAGCAAAAGGCCAAGGGGGAGCAUCUGGCUCCGGUGGCAGCGGGGGGCUUUUUCUUCUGCCGUGUCAUGGCCAGCGCUGCUCCCUGGGCUGGGAGCGAAGGGAGUGCAGUGGGGGAUCUGUUGCUCCAUCACUUGUCAUUGCAGCAAGUGGCCAAAGGUCCCAGCGGUGGCACGAGGGGCUGCCCCUCUCUGGGGCUGUCCCCAGAAGGGUGCCCUGGGGUCAGCUGGGAUUUUCUGGCCCUGGGGCAGGUGUGUUAGGUGGUGCCUCGCCAGGGCUCCUCUCGGGCUCAGCUGGAACAAGAGAGUCUGAUUUUCCUUCACUGGUUUCACUUUCUUUUUUCGCUACGACAAAAAACUGGGGGGAGAAGCACCUGCUGUCACGCUGGGCUAUGUGAAAUGGCCUUUUACAUUUUCAGGUGUUUAGAAAGCCAACCCAAAAGCCAAGUCAGAAGAAUUUCCCCCAUCUUCACAUCAGGCAGACUUCAGAGGGGUUGAGGUUUUGGGGCAAACACAGGAGCCAAAGUGGUGUAAUCUGUAAAUCCUCGAGCAAAAUGUUCCACACUGACCCUCCCUCCCUCCCUCCCUCCCUCCCUCCCUCCCUCCCUCCCUUGCACUACCCUCUCUUUUUUUUUCUUCCUUUGGAGCUUUUUGGUGCAUUUGAUCUACAGUUGCCACUGCUCUGCCCGAGCUCACCGCACCCAAGCCAUGGGGCUGCUUUUGCUGCUCUGCAGCCCCGUGGCCACGGCAUCCUGCUGCCAGGUGACCGGCAGCUCCGCGGCGCUUAUCUCCUCGAGGAGCUCUGGAGACGCAUGUCCUGCUUCUGCUUGGAAACCUCCGGGAGUGGAGACCCUGCCCUGCUUGCAGCUGGCCAGCAUCCCAGCUACAGCCCGAAAACCCAGGUCAUGUCUGCACGCCGGUGACCUGGAGGUGGUCCUCAGCGCCGAGCACCGUGCCAGCUGGCCCGUGCUGGGCUGCUGUGCUGGGAGGUGGUGGGACCGCGCUGGGCUGGCGGGUGCUGGGCUCGCUCCGGGAUGCAGCAGGUGGUUUUCUAGCAGCCUGCCAGCUCUCACAGCACGGAAGACAGGCGGCCCUUUUCUGAGCCCGCGGGUGACUCAGGCGAGGCGCUCGCCGCAGCAGGAGCCACCCAAGCCCAGGGGGUUGAAGCGGCAGAAGAGUCUCUGCGAAACAGAAACGGCGAGAGUGGAAAAAGGCAAAGCGCUGGUGACAUUUCGCUCUGGCAUUUCAGCAGCACGAGUUUCUGAGUGGAUGUUGGGGGGGGGGGGUUUGCACCAUCUGGCAGGCGCGGGGCUUUGCAGAGCCACCGUGAGAAAGCGCAGGGCCGCGCACCCACGUGCACCGGUGGAGACCUGGUGCCGCCACACACAGCUUGGCCUGCCUGCCCAGAGGCUCUGCUCUGUCUGUGCAGGUGUUAAAGUGUUUUGCAGGAUGGGGCCGUGCAGGGGCAGACCCCCACCCGCGCAGCAUCGCACCCCUCCGUCCCUGCUGCAGGCGUGAGCUGAGCCUGGCUCCUGCCCCACGCCGCAGCCCAGAACCAGGAGAGGUGGAGAUGGGUCCCGAGACACCCAGGGCACCCCUCGGCAUCGUGCCUGCAGGUAUUUGCUCCCGAAGUCUGCGAAAUCUCUGACUCACCCCCCUCGACAGGCCUGCUCCCCGUGCCGUUGGUGUUUUGAACUUCUGCUGGUGCCAGAUCAAAGCGAUGAGGGGGAUGCAGCUGGGAACGGCUCCUUAUUAGAAACAGCCCAUUAAGGACUAUCAAGAGGGUAUUUCUUAUUACUAAUUCUCAGAGAGCUGAGCUGCCAGCUACAGAAAUAUUGGAGAGGGGAAUUUUUUCUGUGCGGGGGCUAGCGGGGCUUUUGCAGCUGCCGCAUGGGAAAUCCGGCACUUAACAAACCCGAGGGAGACGGCAGCUCCUGAAAUGACAGAGCUGAAUUCAGCUCUAGCAUUUUGCCGGCUGCCGGGGCCCAGGAAGAGCCCUGCCUGGCGCUGGACGGGGCAAGAGGCAGUAGGUGCAAGGGGCUGGGGCUGGAGACCAUGCGGUGUGGGCUGCCAAAGGUGGGUUUUGGGCCAGGCUGCAGGAGGCACGAGCCUCCGGCACUCCUCAUUCCGGACCGUGCGGCUUCUCCAUGGGCAGCUCCACGGCAGGACCCGAGUGAGGGUGCCCAGACCACGCUGGGGCCAAGCCCUCGGCGGGGAGGUGGCCCCACGGGUGGCUUCGCUGCAGAGCAGAGCGUUUCCCAUUGCAUGCACUGGUCUGGGAGUGCCCUCGUCUGGGGACGCGUGGCAAGUGUCUGCAGGGCGCUCGGUUGGCGUCCCGGGGCGAGGUGGCAGGGCUGGGUGGCACCCCUCCGCCUCUGCUCCCCACGGCUCCCCAUGCCCCCCGGCCUCCCGGUGCAGGGGCUGGCUGCAGAGCGGCCCAAGCAGCCAGCUUGGUGCCUUCUCGCCCCCCUUCAGAGACCCAUGAAACUCUUCCUCGCUGCCCCCAGGAAGGGUGCCACCAGGAACACGCUGUCACAGCGAAGGUGGCUGGUCUGAGGCCACCAAAGGGGCCUCUGCCGGCUGGAUUUCUCUGAGCUGAGCCUCCCACGCAAAGAGAUUUAAAGGGAAGCAAUCCCAGCUGGCUGAUGUUGUGGUAGCUAUUUUCCCAGGAAAACCCCUUUUCAUGACCCUGCCGCUGGGACGCUGGCUGCGAGUCCUCCAUCCACCGGCUUUCCAGAGAAAAAAAGGUGGGUGUUGGAGCCAAAAACAUCCAGGCCCCGGCACUGGCCAUGCCUUGCAUGAUGUUCAACCAGAGUCCCUUUGGUUUGCCGUGACAUAACAGCCUGGACGUGUGGAUCUGUGUGUUUUGUCCAGGUGUUGGCCCCAUGUUCUCUUCUCCAAACCCACCGGGGGCACGGGUCACCUCCCCGGCCUUCCCUCCCUCUUCCUUCCCCAGCACAGCCCCGGCAAACAGCAGAGCUCCUGGAAACCCAGCCGUGCAUCUAUCGAGUGUCCUCAGUGACGAGUGACACAGCUGUGGAGGGAGCAGUGACAGUCCCCUGCUGUCACCGGGACGGGUGGCCGAGCCAGGGGAAGCGACGACGCACCUGGUGCACGCGUACAGGUCGCAGAGCACCGGGGGAGGCUGGGGGCCGUAAAGGAGGACCUCUGCAUGCCCCAAAACUCACAGGCUCCUGGUGACCUGCUCAAGGCUUGCAGCAGGAGGCAAGACGACCUCCAGAGGUCCCUUCCAACCUCAGCCAUUCUGCCACGCAGCCUCCCAGAGAAGGGCCGUCACCUUGCUGCCUGGCACUGCUGGGAAGUGAGCGGGCGCGCGGCUCCUCCUGCCACUUGGCUGACUCACGGGGACUUCCAGAGUUUUAGCAACUCCAUGACGUGCCUGAGGCCAGGAAAAUACCUCCGCAGCCAAGUGCUUGGGCUGGCCGAGCUCCUGGCACCCUGCCCCUGGAGUUGUGCAAGGACACGGGGGCUGGGGGCCAUCCUCGUCGCCAUCUCCCCAUUGAACCCAGACCUUGUGCCGACAGGUCUGAGCCUGGCUGACGCUGCGGCAGGCUGGGGGGCUGACAGCGAGCCCCCAGCAGCACUUUGGGUGCCCAGGAACCUGGUCCUGGCUCUGCCUGCUGCAGAAGCCAGCCAUGAGCAGAAAGGAGCCGAUGGCAAUGGGCAGGGUCAGGGCUCGAGGGCAGCUGGACCCAAGGACGGGGCCGCUGUGGGGUCACACAGAGGGAGCUGAGGGGGAUGCCCUUGUCCAGACAGAGCAGGGCCCCAGCAGCCCAGCAAAGAGAGGUGAGUGCCCGGGGCCCGGCGGGUCCUGGGACCCUCUGUGACCUGCCAAGGGGACACGGAAGCCAGGGGUUGGCCUUGGGGUGGGGGUGAUCAUGGCGCUGACAGUGCACGAGCAAGGCGUAUUAAAAUAAAGUUUAUUGCUGUUCUUAGUUACA